GUACUGAUGAAGAGUCUCAGAAUUUGACGAAACAGCUGUCCGGUAC
rnacentral:hammerhead_ribozyme from 1 species